ACUCAAAGGAAUUGACGGGGACCCGCACAAGCAGCGGAGCGUGUGGUUUAAUUCGAGGCUACGCGAAGAACCUUACCAGGGUUUGACAUGGCGGUGGUAGGGAAGUGAAAGCUUACCGACCCUUCGGGGAGCCGUCACAGGUGCUGCAUGGCUGUCGUCAGCUCGUGCCGUGAGGUGUUAGGUUAAGUCCUGUAACGAGCGCAACCCUCAUCGCUAGUUACAUGUGUCUAGCGAGACUGCCGGUGAUAAGCCGGAGGAAGGCGGGGAUGAAGUCAAGUCAGCAUGGCCUUUAUAUCCUGGGCUACACACACGCUACAAUGGCCGGUACAAUGGGUUGCCAAGCCGCGAGGCGGAGCCAAUCCCCCAAAGCCGGUCUCAGUUCGGAUUGCAGGCUGCAACCCGCCUGCAUGAAGUCGGAGUUGCUAGUAACCGCGCGUCAGCCAUAGUGCGGUGAAUACGUUCCCGGGUCUUGUACACACCGCCCGU
rnacentral:rRNA from 1 species